CCUACGGGAGGCAGCAGUGAGGAAUAUUGGUCAAUGGGCGCGAGCCUGAACCAGCCAAGUCGCGUGAGGGAAGACGGCCCUACGGGUUGUAAACCUCUUUUGCCGGGGAGCAACGGGCGCCACGUGUGGCGCCACUGAGAGUACCCGGAGAAAAAGCAUCGGCUAACUCCGUGCCAGCAGCCGCGGUAAUACUGAGGAUGCGAGCGUUAUCCGGAUUUAUUGGGUUUAAAGGGUGCGUAGGCGGAGAGAUAAGUCAGUGGUAAAAUUGAGGGGCUCAACCCCUUUCCGCCAUUGAAACUGGCGCUCCUGAGUGGAAGAGAAGUAUGCGGAAUGCGUGGUGUAGCGGUGAAAUGCAUAGAUAUCACGCAGAACCCCGAAUGCGAAGGCAGCAUGCCGGCUUCCUACUGACGCUGAAGCACGAAAGCGUGGGGAUCGAACAGGAUUAGAUACCCGAGUAGUC
rnacentral:rRNA from 1 species